UACGGAGGGUGCAAGCGUUAUCCGGAUUUACUGGGUUUAAAGGGUGUGUAGGCGGGCUUUUAAGUCAGUGGUGAAAUCUCCGGGCUCAACCCGGAAACUGCCAUUGAUACUAUUAGUCUUGAAUUUUGUUGAGGUAGGCGGAAUAAGUCAUGUAGCGGUGAAAUGCAUAGAUAUGUCACAGAACACCAAUUGCGAAGGCAGCUUGCUAUGGUAUAAUUGACGCUGAGGCACGAAAGCGUGGGGAUCGAACAGG
rnacentral:rRNA from 1 species